rnacentral:rRNA from 1 species
AUCGGCCCGCGUUAGAUUAGUUAGUUGGUGGGGUAAUGGCCUACCAAGACUACGAUCUAUAGCUGGUUUGAGAGGAUGAUCAGCAACACUGGGACUGAGACACGGCCCAGACUCCUACGGGAGGCAGCAGUGGGGAAUCUUAGACAAUGGGGGCAACCCUGAUCUAGCGAUGCCGCGUGAGUGAUGAAGGCCUUAGGGUCGUAAAGCUCUUUCGCCUGUGAUGAUAAUGACAGUAGCAGGUAAAGAAACCCCGGCUAACUCCGUGCCAGCAGCCGCGGUAAUACGGAGGGGGUUAGCGUUGUUCGGAAUUACUGGGCGUAAAGCGCACGUAGGCGGAUUAGUCAGUCAGAGGUGAAAUCCCAGGGCUCAACCCUGGAACUGCCUUUGAUACUGCUAGUCUUGAGUUCGAGAGAGGUAAGUGGAAUUCCGAGUGUAGAGGUGAAAUUCGUAGAUAUUCGGAGGAACACCAGUGGCGAAGGCGGCUUACUGGCUCGAUACUGACGCUGAGGUGCGAAAGUGUGGGGGAGCAAACAUGGAUUAAAUAUCCCUGGCUAGUCCGCACCGUAAAACGAUGAA